rnacentral:lncRNA from 1 species
UUGAGAUUGAAAUGAAAUCAGAGUUCCACCACUGUGGCAAAAGAAAAUGGAAAAGAGGCAAGCAACUGAUACUACAGGUUUGUUUUUCUGAAGAUAUCCACAUACAUCUCCAAAUACACAGGUUAAAUAGGAAGCUUCUCCCUGCCAAAGCUCACGACUGAGGAUUUGAUCUGGCUUGCAGCACUGCUCAGGGGUGGAACUACAGAAGGAAACAGAUCGGAUUGUUGGGGUCCUGACC